rnacentral:tmRNA from 1 species
GGGGUUGACUGGUUUCGACAGCAAGACCAAUGGGUAAGUAAGCAUGCAGAGAACCGUAGUGCGAUCUCUUAAAUCCCUUGCUACAACAAUUUAACUGGCGACCAAGAGUUUGCUCUUGCAGCUUAAUCUGAAUGAUAGUAGGAUUCUAAGCGUUUUCCCGAAGAUAGUAAGGAAGCAAGAUGUCCCACAAAAGCCUCGUUCUGCGGCGUUUGGUUUCGGGGCAUAGCAAUGCAGAAAUAAGUCUCGAAGAACUUCGAUUCGGGAACGAAAACCACAGAAGAUAAGCCAAAAAUUGGGUGUUUGCUCUCUGUUUUUGGUCGAAAACUAAAAGCAAAAUAAGCAUGUAGAAAUCUUAUGUAUUGCUUGUUUGGACGAGGGUUCGAAUCCCUCCAACUCCACAG